GUCCUGGCCCUAAACGGUGUUCACUUGGUGUGCGGGAGUCGACCCCUGCGUGCCGCAGCUAACGCGAUAAGUGAACCGCCUGGGAAGUACGGUCGCAAGAUUAAACUCAAGAAUUGACGGGCCCGCACAAGCGGUGGAGCAUGUGGCUUAAUUCGAUGCAACGCGAAGAACCUUACCUGGCCUUGACAUCUAUCACGAAAAUCGGUGAAAGCCGGUGACGGCCCGAAAGGGUGCAGGGGAUAGACAGGUGCUGCAUGGUUGUCGU
rnacentral:rRNA from 1 species